AGAGGAGCGGCAGACGGGUGAGUAACGCGUGGGAAUCUACCGUGCCCUGCGGAAUAGCUCCGGGAAACUGGAAUUAAUACCGCAUACGCCCUUCGGGGGAAAGAUUUAUCGGGGUAUGAUGAGCCCGCGUUGGAUUAGCUAGUUGGUGGGGUAAAGGCCUACCAAGGCGACGAUCCAUAGCUGGUCUGAGAGGAUGAUCAGCCACAUUGGGACUGAGACACGGCCCAAACUCCUACGGGAGGCAGCAGUGGGGAAUAUUGGACAAUGGGCGCAAGCCUGAUCCAGCCAUGCCGCGUGAGUGAUGAAGGCCCUAGGGUUGUAAAGCUCUUUCACCGGUGAAGAUAAUGACGGUAACCGGAGAAGAAGCCCCGGCUAACUUCGUGCCAGCAGCCGCGGUAAUACGAAGGGGGCUAGCGUUGUUCGGAAUUACUGGGCGUAAAGCGCACGUAGGCGGAUAUUUAAGUCAGGGGUGAAAUCCCAGAGCUCAACUCUGGAACUGCCUUUGAUACUGGGUAUCUCGAGUAUGGAAGAGGUAAGUGGAAUUCCGAGUGUAGAGGUGAAAUUCGUAGAUAUUCGGAGGAACACCAGUGGCGAAGGCGGCUUACUGGUCCAUUACUGACGCUGAGGUGC
rnacentral:rRNA from 1 species